rnacentral:rRNA from 1 species
AGCGUAGGUGGCCCUAUAAGUCAGAUGUGAAAUCCCCGGGCUCAACCUGGGAACUGCAUCUGAAACUGUAGAGCUAGAGUAUGUGAGAGGAAGGUAGAAUUCCAGGUGUAGCGGUGAAAUGCGUAGAGAUCUGGAGGAAUACCGAUGGCGAAGGCAGCCUUCUGGCAUAAUACUGACACUGAGGCUCGAAAGCGUGGGUAGCAAACA